GACAGAGGAUGCAAGCGUUAUCCGGAAUGAUUGGGCGUAAAGCGUCUGUAGGUGGCUUUUUUAAGUCCGCCGUCAAAUCCCAGGGCUCAACCCUGGACAGGCGGUGGAAACUACCAAGCUGGAGUACGGUAGGGGCAGAGGGAAUUUCCGGUGGAGCGGUGAAAUGCGUAGAGAUCCGGAAGAACACCGGUGGCGAAGGCGGUCUGCUGGGCCAAGACUGACGCUGAGGCGCGACAGCGUGGGGGAGCAAACAGG
rnacentral:rRNA from 1 species